rnacentral:rRNA from 1 species
GAACAAAUCCUAGCCCAACCAACACCCAACAUACAACCAAACAGAGCACAUAAACCAAAGCAUUUACUAGACUAAAGUAUAGGCGAUAGAAAUUACACAACGGCGCUAUAGAAAAAGUACCGCAAGGGAAAGAUGAAAGAUGCAUUCAAAGUACAAAAAAGCAAAGAUUACCCCUUAUACCUUUUGCAUAAUGGACUAACUAGAAACACCCUAGCAAAGAGAACUUAAGCUAGAAACCCCGAAACCAGACGAGCUACCUACGAGCAGUUUAAAGAACCCACUCAUCUAUGUGGCAAAAUAGUGAGAAGACUUAUAGGUAGAGGUGAAAAGCCUAACGAGCCUGGUGAUAGCUGGUUGUCCAAGAAAUGAAUCUAAGUUCAACUUGAAGCAUACCCAAAAGCCCAAAAACUAUAAUGUAGGCUUCAAGUAUAGUCUAAAAAGGUACAGCUUUUUAGAAACAGAAUUAAAUCUUAAUUAGUGAGUAAACAAUACAACAACCAUAGUUGGCCUAAAAGCAGCCAUCAAUUAAGAAAGCGUCAAAGCUCAACAAUAAGACAUAAAUAAUACCACAAAUAAAAAUCAACUCCUAAACCAAUAUUGGACCAAUCUAUCAAUAAAUAGAAGAAAUACUGUUAGUAUGAGUAACAAGAAAUAGAUCUCCUUGCACAAGCUUAUAUCAGAACGGAUGACCCACUGAUAAUUAACAACGAAACAAAUCAAACCCAAAAAUAGAACUUUGUUAAAUAGAUUGUUAACCCAACACAGGCGUGCAUAUUCUCAAAGGAAAGGUUAAAACAAAUGAAAGGAACUCGGCAAACACAAGCCCCGCCUGUUUACCAAAAACAUCACCUCUAGCAUAACCAGUAUUAGAGGCACUGCCUGCCCAGUGACUCGCGUUAAACGGCCGCGGUAUUCUGACCGUGCAAAGGUAGCAUAAUCACUUGUUCUCUAAAUAAGGACUAGUAUGAACGGCUAGACGAGGGUUUUACUGUCUCUCAUCUGUAACCAGUGAAAUUGACCUCCCCGUGAAGAGGCGGGAAUAAUAUAAUAAGACGAGAAGACCCUAUGGAGCUUUAAUUAAACAGCUUAAAAUUAACCCAACACCACUCUAACAGAGAUAUAACAAACCAAUUAGCCUAAGCUGUCAAUUUUGGUUGGGGUGACCUCGGAGCAAAAAACAACCUACGAGCGGUCAAAUCCAGACUAACAAGUCCAGAUAAUCCGUUAAUUGAUCCAACAACUUGAUCAACGGAACAAGUUACCCUAGGGAUAACAGCGCAAUCCUAUUCGAGAGUCCAUAUCGACAAUAGGGUUUACGACCUCGAUGUUGGAUCAGGACAUCCCAAUGGUGCAGAAGCUAUUAAUGGUUCGUUUGUUCAACGAUUAAAGUCCUACGUGAUCUGAGUUCAGACCGGAGUAAUCCAGGUCGGUUUCUAUCUAUUAAUACACUUCUCCCAGUACGAAAGGACAAGAGAAGUAGGGCCUACCUCACACAGGCGCCCUCGAAUCAAUAAAUGACUACCCUCUUAAUUUAGCCAAUUCACAACAACCCCCAGUCCUAGAACCAGGGCCA